CAGAACCACACAGUUGGUUCCCUGUCUGGCCCAGCAUCCUGUGCAGUCUUCUUUCCUCUAAGCCACAUUUGAUAAGAAAGCUCAUGCCCAGAGUGGGGAAGGGCUGGGUCUACAAUGAAUCAUCUAGUUUGAGCAGUGAAUGCUGAUGUCGCCCAAGGUCCAUUGCUCAUCCCAUUCCUUAACUGGACUGAUUUGCUGGGAAGAAUAUGCAUUGAGUGUCUGAUACAAAAUACCCAGGUGUGAGGGAGAGAGGGAUGGUUUCUAUUUCUUUGAUGGAAAACAUCAGACAAUAAAGAUCCUUUGAGGGCUGGGA